AGUGAACGCUGGCGGUAGGCCUAACACAUGCAAGUCGAACGGCAGCACAGGAGAGCUUGCUCUCUGGGUGGCGAGUGGCGGACGGGUGAGGAAUACAUCGGAAUCUACUUUUUCGUGGCGGAUAACGUAGGGAAACUUACGCUAAUACCGCAUACGACCUACGGGUGAAAGCAGGGGACCUUCGGGCCUUGCGCGAUUGAAUGAGCCGAUGUCGGAUUAGCUAGUUGGCGGGGUAAAGGCCCACCAAGGCGACGAUCCGUAGCUGGUCUGAGAGGAUGAUCAGCCACACUGGAACUGAGAAACGGUCCAGACUCCUACGGGAGGCAGCAGUGGGGAAUAUUGGACAAUGGGCGCAAGCCUGAUCCAGCCAUACCGCGUGGGUGAAGAAGGCCUUCGGGUUGUAAAGCCCUUUUGUUGGGAAAGAAAUCCAGCUGGCUAAUACCCGGUUGGGAUGACGGUACCCAAAGAAUAAGCACCGGCUAACUUCGUGCCAGCCGCCGCAGUAA
rnacentral:rRNA from 1 species